CAGUAAGCGGGAAGAAAUCAAGUGGUUUUGGCUCUUUUGAACCUGUUGCUGUACUUAACACAACUGUAUCGCCAUAUCUGAUCAAAGCUGCUCCGCUUGCCUGUUUAGCAAGCUGGCCAACUUCAACUGUAAGCUCUCUUCCUGCCCAGUUAGUUGUAAAAACCUGUUUAUUCUGGUCCAUCGAAAAACCCCUUUCUGUAUUUAACAUAGCAACGUUCUGUUGUUUUCACUAUGUACAAAAUCUUUCAUUUUUAUCCUAAUAAAAAAGCGGGACGAGGCCCGCU
rnacentral:antisense_RNA from 1 species